GAUGAACGCUGGCGGCGUGCCUAAUACAUGCCAGUCGAGCGAACGGACGAGAAGCUUGCUUCUCUGAUGUUAGCGGCGGACGGGUGAGUAACACGUGGAUAACCUACCUAUAAGACUGGGAUAACUUCGGGAAACCGGAGCUAAUACCGGAUAAUAUUUUGAACCGCAUGGUUCAAAAGUGAAAGACGGUCUUGCUGUCACUUAUAGAUGGAUCCGCGCUGCAUUAGCUAGUUGGUAAGGUAACGGCUUACCAAGGCAACGAUGCAUAGCCGACCUGAGAGGGUGAUCGGCCACACUGGAACUGAGACACGGUCCAGACUCCUACGGGAGGCAGCAGUAGGGAAUCUUCCGCAAUGGGCGAAAGCCUGACGGAGCAGCGCCGCGUGAGUGAUGAAGGUCUUCGGAUCGUAAAACUCUGUUAUUAGGGAAGAACAUAUGUGUAAGUAACUGUGCACAUCUUGACGGUACCUAAUCAGAAAGCCACGGCUAACUACGU
rnacentral:rRNA from 1 species